rnacentral:pre_miRNA from 1 species
CAUGCACCAGAGGGGUCCCUCCGCCUGGCCUGUGCCCUCUCACACUCUGGGACACCUCAGGGGAUGUCAGAGAGCUGGUUUCAGCCCGAUCCUCACAGGCCAGGCUGAGGGACCCCACUGGUGCACG